AACGCAUCUUGCGCCCCUUGGUAUUCCGAGGAGCAUGCCUGUUUGAGUGUCAUUUGACCUUCUCUCAACCAUAUCAGUCAAUGAUGUGGCUUGGAUGUGGGAUUGCAGGCUUCGAGUAUGAAGUCCAGCUCUCCUGAAAUGCAUUAGUGGUAUCUGUCUGAGCUGCUAUUUGGUGUGAUAACUUAUCUAUGCCUUUUGGUGAUCAGCACCGCUUAUAACCUACCAAAAUUGACAAAAUUGACCUCAAAUCAGGUAGGACUACCCGCUGAACUUAAGCAUAUCAAUAAGCGGAGGAGAUACUGAUGCAUGAGUCACUGUGAAUCAUCGAGUCUUUGAACGCACAUUGCGCCCCCUGGUAUUCCGGGGGGCAUGCCUGUUCGAGCGUCAUUUCACCACUCAAGCCUCGCUUGGUAUUGGGCAACGCGGUCCGCCGCGUGCCUCAAAUCGUCCGGCUGGGUCUUCUGUCCCCUAAGCGUUGUGGAAACUAUUCGCUAAAGGGUGUUCGGGAGGCUACGCCGUAAAACAACCCCAUUUCUAAGGUUGACCUCGGAUCAGGUAGGGAUACCCGCUGAACUUAA
rnacentral:misc_RNA from 1 species